CGGUGUUCAACUGGCGUGUCCGCGGGACGUCCUGCCGGUGGGCUUAGCCCGCAAGGGCGGCCCAACUUCAAAUCCCAUCGCGGUGCUCUUCACUGAGUGUCGAGGUGGGCCGGCACGUUUACUUUGAACAAAUUAGAGUGCUUAAAGCAGGCUAAAACUUCGCCUGAAUACUGUGUGCAUGGAAUAAUGGAAUAGGACCUCGGUUCUAUUUUGUUGGCUUUCGGAACCCCGAGGUAAUGAUUAAUAGGAACGGAUGGGGGCAUUCGUAUUGCGACGUUAGAGGUGAAAUUCUUGGAUCGUCGCAAGACGGACAGAAGCGAAAGCAUUUGCCAAAAACGCUUUCAUUGAUCAAGAACGAAAGUUAGAGGUUCGAAGGCGAUCAGAUACCGCCCUAGUUCUAACCAUAAACGAUGCCAGCUAGCGAUCCGUCGACGUUCCUCCGAUGACUCGACGGGCAGCUUCCGGGAAACCAAAGCUUUUGGGUUCCGGGGGAAGUAUGGUUGCAAAGCUGAAACUUAAAGGAAUUGACGGAAGGGCACCACCAGGAGUGGAGCCUGCGGCUUAAUUUGACUCAACACGGGAAACCUCACCAGGCCCGGACACCGGAAGGAUUGACAGAUUGAGAGCUCUUUCUUGAUUCGGUGGGUGGUGGUGCAUGGCCGUUCUUAGUUGGUGGAGCGAUUUGUCUGGUUAAUUCCGAUAACGAACGAGACUCUAGCCUGCUAACUAGGCGUAUUUUCGACAUCUCAAAGGUCCGUCGUCCCGGCCCUCGGGUCGUGGGCGUGCGCGAUUUUUACUGUCGGCGUACUAUCAAUUCUUCUUAGAGGGACAGGUGGCUUCUAGCCGCACGAGAUUGAGCAAUAACAGGUCUGUGAUG
rnacentral:rRNA from 1 species